UCAAAAUUGUUCGAAAGUUCGUAUGCCCGGCGUUACGCCAUAGAGUGGUGGAAUUUAUAUUUUCAGAUUCUAAGGUAACAAU
rnacentral:sRNA from 1 species